rnacentral:sRNA from 1 species
GCUGGGUGUAGUGGUGUACUCCUGUAAUCCCAGCGACUCAGAAGGCUGAGGCAGGAGGAUAAUGAGUUCAAAGCCAGCCUCAGCAAAACUUGGUGGGAACUUAGCAACUCGGAAAGACCCUGACUCUA